UCCAUUGCUCAGUUGGUAGAGCACAAGACUCUUAACCUUGUGGUCAUGGGUUCUAGACCUAUGAUGGAG
rnacentral:tRNA from 1 species